rnacentral:sRNA from 1 species
UGUUUUAAGAACAGAGCCACCAAAGUC